GAAAAGAAAAGAAAAGAAAAGGUUUAGGAAAAUUCAAAAAAAAAUGUAUAUAAAUAGGCAUUAGAGGACAAACUCCCACCCACUUCCAUCUUCUUCCUCCAUUUCUUCUCUCUCUCUCUCUUUCCCUCAUUUCCUCCAUUGUUGUCAAGCUUCCAAGCUUGAUUUUCCAAGCUUCUACCCAUCAAAACCCAUAGCUCACUUCAUUAAAAAUCUUCCCCACACCCUAAGGAAGCUAUAACCAUCCA
rnacentral:misc_RNA from 1 species